rnacentral:rRNA from 1 species
UUCGCAAUGCCCGAAAGGGUGACGAAGCGACGCCGCGUGCGGGAAGAAGGCCUUCGGGUUGUAAACCGCUGUCGGGAGUUAAGAAAUGUAAGGAUGUUAAUAGCAUCUUUGCUUGACUAAGGCUCCGGAGGAAGCCACGGCUAACUCUGUGCCAGCAGCCGCGGUAAUACAGAGGCGGCAAGCGUUGUUCGGAAUUAUUGGGCGUAAAGAGCACGUAGGCGGCUAUGUAAGUCGGUUGUGAAAGCCUUCCGCUCAACGGGAGAACAGCAUCCGAUACUGCAUGGCUUGAGUGCGGGGGGGAGAGUGGAACUUCUGGUGGAGCGGUGAAAUGCGUAGAUAUCAGAAGGAACGCCGGCGGCGAAAGCGGCUCUCUGGCCCAUAACUGACGCUGAGUGUGCGAAAGCUAGGGGAGCAAACGGGAUUAGAUACCCCGGUAGUCCUAGCCGUAAACGAUGGGCACUAAGUAGAGGGGUUUU